CAGCAGCCGCGGUAAUACGUAGGGGGCGAGCGUUGUCCGGAUUUAUUGGGCGUAAAGGGCUCGUAGGCGGCUUGGCAAGUCGGCCGUGAAAACCCAGGGCUCAACUCUGGGACGCCGGUCGAUACUGCCAUGGCUAGGGUCCGGUAGAGGGGAAUGGAAUUCCCGGUGUAGCGGUGAAAUGCGCAGAUAUCGGGAGGAACACCAGUAGCGAAGGCGGUUCCCUGGGCCGGCACCGACGCUGAGGAGCGAAAGCGUGGGGAGCAAACAGGAUUAGAUACCCUGGUAGUCCACGCCGUAAACGUUGGGUACUAGGCGUGGCGUCUUAUCAACGGAUGCCGUGCUCGAAGCUAACGCGUUAAGUGCCCCGCCUGGGGAGUACGGCCGCAAGGCUAAAACUCAAAGGAAUUGACGGGUCCCCGCACAAGCGGCGGAGCAUGCGGCUUAAUUCGAUGCAACCCGAAGAACCUUACCUAGGUUUGACAUUAUGGGAAAAGCCAUGGAAACAUGGUGUGCGGGAGCGUCCAUAACAGGUGGUGCAUGGCUGUCGUCAGCUCGUGUCGUGAGAUGUUGGGUUAAGUCCCGCAACGAGCGCAACCCUCGUCCUAUGUUGCCAGCGGGUAAUGCCGGGGACUCAUAGGAGACCGCCGGGGACAACUCGGAGGAAGGUGAGGAUGACGUCAAGUCAGCAUGCCCCUUACACCUAGGGCUGCACGCAUGCUACAAUGGCCGGUACAACGGGCUGCGAUCCCGCGAGGGUGAGCGAAUCCCUUAAAGCCGGCCCCAGUUCGGAUUGGAGUCUGCAACUCGACUCCAUGAAGCCGGAGUCGCUAGUAAUCGCGGAUCAGCAAAGCCGCGGUGAAUACGUUCUCGGGGAUUGUACACACCGCCCGU
rnacentral:rRNA from 1 species